ensembl:lncRNA
GACGUGUCUUGUCCCAAAUCUGCGGAAAAUCUGUGGAAAGCAGUGAACAUGAAAACAGGAAGCUCUCCUAGACUCAGACAUCGGAGAACUACUUUCACGGUGUGAUGGUAAGAAUUACUCAUCUCUGCUCAUAUCUGCAAACCAUUCAGGUUCCUUGAUCUAAGAUAAAUCAGUGACUCACUUAUAUAUACAUAUAUACAUGUAUAAAUAUAUAUAGGUAAAAAAAUAUAAGCAAUUCAGUGCAUAUUUUCUUAUGUAAACACACAGUUAUGAAACAUUUUGCCACUUUUUAUUAGCAUUCUCAUCUAGAUUGAAGAUCACCUGAUUAGUCAUGCCAGAAUAAUUCCACAUUCAUCUAAUCAUAAUUAAUUCAGAUGAUCAUGACAAACAAGUUCACAUUUUCUGGUUCAAAUGUUUUGUAACUAUGUUUUGUCAUGUAACACAGUAACAUUCAUUUCCAACUAACGCUGUGUCAUAGUACUUUAUUCAUUUACACAGUUUUUGUUAUAUUCAUUUUCCAUUCCAUUCUGUUUAUUGUUUAGUAAUGUCAGUGUGUUUUAGUAACAUGCUUUAUAUAUUUAUAACAUUGUUAAAUUCCUGAUUCUGUUUGGUCAGAAGUUGUAGAUUAAUUUUGUAUAUCAUCAGUUCUGAUUUUAGUGCUGGCUCCAAGGGAAACUGGCAAAAACUCAAAUAAAUGAAGGCUAAAAAUUAAUGGAUUAAAAAUGGUCUUUUAUUAAACAAAGAAAACAUGCUGUAUAACCAUCAGUGUUUUGUAACAUUCAGUAAGUUUUCCACCACAGGAAAGUCUUCAGGACAGGUUUUUGUGCUUUCCUUUUUCUUUGUAACAUGACAAGCUGCAGUUUUACAAGCUGUCAUUAACUUAAAGAGAAAUGACAGUUUAUAGCUGCUAUGACACAAGUGACAACAGGAAGUAAUUUGUGUCAUGGAUGUUCCACAUGAUUAAAUGUAACUACAAACUGAUCAAGAUUAUGUGCUGUUCUUUAUUUAUUAAAAUAAUGUCAUUAUUGGGUAACACUUUAUAAUGUGCUGUUAUUGGAAAAUCAUCAACUUCAGGGUGGUAACAGGAAAUCCACUUUGCAUUGGCCAACUUCACACAACCCCACUGUUGAUAAUUUUCCUAAAACUGCACAUCUUUUCAUGUUUUAUUCCUUACCCAUUAUACGGUUCAUCGUCUAAUUUAACUUACACAUGUUCAGUGUUGAUAAAUGGCUGGUUUCCAUAAGGUGCAUGCGAAUUAGUAUAAUGAUAAUGAGUCUUUAUUGUGACAUGUACAUUACAGCACAGUGCAGUUCUUUUCUUUGUAGGAAGUUGGGGUCAGAACGCAGGUCAGCCAUGAUAUAGCACCCCUGGAGCAGAAAGGGGCAAGGGCCUUGCUCCAGGGCCCAACAGUGGCAGCUUGACAGUGCUGGGGCUUGAACCCCCGACCUUCCGAUCAGUUACCCAGAGCCUUAACUGCCAAUCAUAAUACUGUCACUAUUAUUCUUAUAUUAUAAAAAAAGGACAAAUAAAAACCACAACAACGCAGAAGGCAAGUAAAUCAAUCAAAGUAUUUGUUUUACUUUAAUUAAAAGAGAAGGCAAAUCAAUCUCUCAUUUUCACUCACUUUUUACCUUCUCAGUAGAAAUGAAUAUGCCAGAAAGGUAGAAAUGUUCUAACGUGUAAAAAUAAAUCUGUCUGCAUAUGCUCCAGACCCCCCC